rnacentral:rRNA from 1 species
UACGUAGGGUGCAAGCGUUGUCCGGAAUUAUUGGGCGUAAAGAGCUCGUAGGCGGUCUGUUGCGUCGGCUGUGAAAACCCGGGGCUCAACUCCGGGCCUGCAGCCGAUACGGGCAGACUAGAGUUCGGCAGGGGAGACUGGAAUUCCUGGUGUAGCUGUGAAAUGCGCAGAUAUCAGGAGGAACACCGGUGGCGAAGGCGGGUCUCUGGGCCGAUACUGACGCUGAGGAGCGAAAGCGUGGGGAGCGAACAGG